UGGGGGAUAUUGCACAAUGGAGGAAACUCUGAUGCAGCAACGCCGCGUGAGGGAAGAAGGUUUUCGGAUUGUAAACCUCUGUCUUCGGUGAAGAAAAAAAUGACGGUAACCGAGGAGGAAGCCACGGCUAACUACGUGCCAGCAGCCGCGGUAAUACGUAGGUGGCAAGCGUUGUCCGGAAUUACUGGGUGUAAAGGGUGCGCAGGCGGGUAUUCAAGUCAGCUGUGAAAACUAUGGGCUCAACCCAUAGACUGCAGUUGAAACUGUAUAUCUUGAGUGAAGUAGAGGUAAGCGGAAUUCCGAGUGUAGCGGUGAAAUGCGUAGAUAUUCGGAGGAACACCAGUGGCGAAGGCGGCUUACUGGGCUUUUACUGACGCUGAGGCACGAAAGCAUGGGGAGCAAACAGG
rnacentral:rRNA from 1 species